AUGGGGACGCGCCACCUCAUCACCGGCCAGAACAACUGCGCCCCGGACGGGGCAUCCUCCUCCAACCCAUUCGGCGCCCUCGCCAACACCCUCCUCGGCCAGUCCAGCAAAGCGGAGUCACUAAAGGGACUUCCUGGAGCCUCAGUUAAUGUUCCAACUACGUCUGAUUAUAGCACAGCUCCACUGUCUACUGUCCCUGGCUCUGAGAAUGAGUUCAAGCAAGAUCAACGACCAUUUGCACGGGGUGCCGACUUCAUGCGUGGGGGUCCUGCUAAUGAUUGGGUUGAAUCUUUUCGCCCUCCGGGGCAUUCUACAUUUGGAGGGCCAGAAACAAACUUUGCAGAGUUUGAGCAAAUUUAUAACAAUGCAGGCCCUACCUUCGGACCGGCCUUGGAUGGUCCGCCACAAAGGGUCUUAUCUGGUGUUCUGCAUUCUUUUCUUUCAAGUGGCCGAGCUGGUGUGCCAUUUCAACCUGUCCCAGUACCAGCUCUUGGUUUGUCCGAAGCCGACAAACAAUGUAUACGUGAUCGCAGCUGCAUAAUGGCACGCCAUAUUUUGGCCGAUCAACCUGAAGAAUAUAUACAAGCACAGGUGAAUACACUGCUGCAUUCUCUUGAUAUUGACAAUAGUCAUCGAAUGAAAAAUCCCCUGCAUGGGCCGUACCCAGAGAUGGAGGAGUACUGGAAUCAGUCCCAAAGUGCUUUGAGAUCUGGCCCAAUGCACAAUGCUGCAAAUAAUUGGAUUAGUGAGUUCGGCAAGCAAAACAAUAACCCUGAGGGUUGGAUCACUGAGUUUGGCAAGCAGAAUAAUAACCCUGAGGGUUGGGCGCACUCUUUUGAGCAGCAAUAUGGUCCCAAUGGAUGGGCCUCUGAGUUUGAACAGCAUCAGUCUCAGAUGGCCAUGGGUCAGAUGGGAGGAGCGAACAUGGCGAAUCUCGCAGCUAUGCAGCAAUCCCGUAUGCUUGCAGAAACAUUAUCAAGUAACAAUGACCCAAAGUUCCAGAAUUCUAAAUUCUUCCAGUUUGUUUCAAAGAUGAGCCGUGGUGAACUUAUUAUAGAAGAUAACCAAGUAAAACAAGGUUCAGCAUCCCAAUCCAAUGGCUGGGCUGAUGAAUUUCAAACACAGCAUAAUGCUAAUGCAAAUUCUUGGGCAGAUCAGUUUGUGCAUGAAGAGCUUUCACAAGGGGCCGAUAAUUGGGUUAGUGAGUUCUCUAGUGAACAGAAUCAGAGUGGGCUCAAAGAGAAGUGGGUCGAUGAGUUCUCCAAAUUGAAUAUGGAUGAUUGGGCAGAGGAGUUCAGUGGAGGAGCUUUUGGUGAGAGCUCUGCUGAUCCAUGGGCAGAUGAGUUUCAAAACCAACUGUCAGCUUCCAAAAGUUCUGGCGCUUCUCGAGGGGUUUAUGUUUUUUCCGAGAUGAACCCAUAUGUUGGUCACCCUAAUCCAAUGCAGGAAGGGCAGGAGCUCUUUCGGAAGGGCCUCUUAAGUGAAGCUGCUCUUGCUCUGGAGGCUGAAGUUUUAAAGAACCCUGAUAAUGCUGAAGGUUGGAGGUUGCUUGGAGUAACACAUGCUGAAAAUGAUGAUGACCAGCAGGCCAUAGCUGCAAUGCUGCGUGCCCAGGAGGCCAAUCCUACCAACUUGGAAGUUCUUCUUGCUCUUGGUGUCAGUCACACAAACGAGUUGGAACAGGGAGAAGCAUUAAGAUAUCUUUCGAGAUGGCUUCAGAAUCAUCCAAAGUAUGGAGCUCUUGCCGCUCCCCACCAAACUGAUUCACCAUAUGGUCCAGAUGUUGUUAGAUUGUUUAAUGAAGCUGCUCAGAUGUCGCCUGAGGAUGCUGAUGUCCACAUAGUUCUGGGUGUCUUGUACAACUUAUCAAGAGAAUAUGAUAAAGCUAUAGCUUCAUUUAAGACGGCACUACAGCUGAAACCACAAGACUAUUCUCUCUGGAACAAGCUCGGUGCGACCCAAGCAAACAGCAUCCAGAGCGCUGAUGCCGUACUGGCAUACCAGCAGGCUCUAGAUUUGAAGCCCAACUACGUCCGUGCGUGGGCUAAUAUGGGAAUUAGCUAUGCCAACCAGGGUCUGUACGAGGAUUCCAUUCGGUACUAUGUAAGGGCGGUUUCCAUGAAUCCAAAAGCAGACAAUGCCUGGCAGUACUUGAGAAUUUCACUUGGUAAUGCUUCACGCAGUGAUAUGAUUGCUGCAUGUGAUUCCCGCAACCUUGAUGUCCUUCAGAAAGAGUUUCCCCUCUGA
rnacentral:rRNA from 1 species